ACCAUGCUGAAUAUACCGGUUCUCGUUAGAUCACCGAAGUCAAGCAUCAUUGGGCGCGGUCAGUACUUGGGUGGGUGACCACCUGGGAACACCGCGUGCC
rnacentral:rRNA from 1 species